CGGCUGUCAGCUAGCACUUCCGACAAGCCUCACGCUUCCUCUUUUUGUAAACUGCUUGAGUCGAUAGGACGUGUAUUUCAUUUGCUGCUCACGUUUCGUGUCGAACUGACUUAAAAUUUUGCAAAAAUGCGUUACGUAGCUGCAUACCUGCUGGCUGUUCUGGGAGGCAACGCCGCCCCAUCCAACUCGGACAUCGAGAAGAUCCUCAGCUCGGUCGGCAUUGAGGCCGAUUCGACCCGCGUUACCAAGGUGGUGAACGAGCUGAAGGGCAAGUCGAUCGAGGAAUUGAUCGCUUCCGGACGCGAGAAGCUGUCUUCGAUGCCGGCUGGAGGUGGUGCAGCUGUUGCUGCUCCAGCGGCCGCUGGUGGUGGUGGUGGCGCUGCUGCCCCGGCAGCAGAGAAGAAGGAGGAGAAGAAGGAAGAAUCGGAAUCCGAAGACGAAGACAUGGGCUUCGGUCUUUUCGAGUAAAAGUUUAUUACUGCGUCACACUCAAUGCUGUUAUGCUAUAUCAUGUGGAUAUAGGUCUACAAACAAAUCCAACAAUUUAUGCACCAUUAUUACAGUGCGUGUAGUGGUGUGUGGACUGGGUAUUGUGUACAAAAAUGCGUGACAUAGGAAUAAAUUUUCAUUUCGAAAACUA